UAGGGAAUCUUCGGCAAUGGGGGGAACCCUGACCGAGCAACGCCGCGUGAGUGAAGAAGGUUUUCGGAUCGUAAAGCUCUGUUGUUAAGGAAGAACGAGUGUGAGAAUGGAAAGUUCAUACUGUGACGGUACUUAACCAGAAAGGGACGGCUAACUACGUGCCAGCAGCCGCGGUAAUACGUAGGUCCCGAGCGUUGUCCGGAUUUAUUGGGCGUAAAGCGAGCGCAGGCGGUUAGGUAAGUCUGAAGUUAAAGGCAGUGGCUCAACCAUUGUAGGCUUUGGAAACUGUUUAACUUGAGUGCAGAAGGGGAGAGUGGAAUUCCAUGUGUAGCGGUGAAAUGCGUAGAUAUAUGGAGGAACACCGGUGGCGAAAGCGGCUCUCUGGUCUGUAACUGACGCUGAGGCUCGAAAGCGUGGGGAGCGAACAGG
rnacentral:rRNA from 1 species